rnacentral:lncRNA from 1 species
CUGAAGGUAAACUUGGCAGUCUUUAUUACAGUUUCACUACUAUCCAUAUGAGUUUACUUGGUGGCAUUAUCCGACACAAUUAUUAAAGACAAAUAAAUAAAAACAUAGCAAGUGGAAAAGUAUAGCAAAAUUAUCACAGAUGUUAUUGUGUCCUGGGGGGCUGGUCAAAUGAAAAAAAAAAAAAACUACAAAAUGUAAGUGAAUUCAGAUAGAAGGCUGGGUACAUAAUGUAUAAAAUCAGCAGCUUUUUUAUUUACACAUGACAAACAGAAAUAAAAUAAGACACUUACUCCUUAAAUGCAAACUGUAUAAGAAACUUUUAAAAAUCUACACACCAAAGAAGGACUUAUAAAGGCGUUCCUGUUGUGGCUCAGUGGUCAUGAGCCCAACUUGUAUCCACAAGGAUGUGGGUUCGAUCCCUGGCCCUGCUCAGGGCUAAGGAUCCGGCGCUGCUGUGAGCGGUGGCGUAGGUCGCAGACACAGCUCAGAUCCCACGUUGCUGCGGCUGUGGUGGAGGCUGGCAGUCGUAGCUCCAAUUUGACCCUUAGCCUGGGAACGUCCACAUGCCACGGGUACGGCCCUAAACAAGCAGAAGAAGAAGAAGAAGAAGCAGCAGAAGCGGACGAAGCAGCACUUCCAAAAUAACAGCUGGAAAUUGGCCAGAUGUCCAUUAAUAGUAGAAAAGCAAAACUCUUUGGGGUUUACUCGGUAGAAUACUAAGUGGCAAAGAGAAUCUUACAAACACGAUGUCCCGUACGCACCGUGAGUCCUAUAGGAAAAGCACAGACACCCAAAGAACAGACCCGUCUAGGCCCCAAGGGCCAGGAUGGGCUUCUUCGGGAGGAAGUGGCUGGAAGGGAGACGGCAAGGCAGCCCCUGGGGUCUGGAAACGCUCUGUCUCCACAUCUCGGUGCUGGCUACACGUGUGCUCAGGUUGUGAAAACGCAUCAGGCUGUCUCUGUGCAUUUUCCUCCCGAACACACAUUUCAGGAAAAGUCUUGAGCACGUUGCGGCUCAGCAGUCGCGAACCCGACUGGGAUCCAUGAGGACUCGGGUUCGAUCCCUGGUCUCUCUGAGUGGGUUAGGGAUCUGGCAUGACCAUGAGCUGCGGUGUAGGUUGCAGAUGUGGCUCAGAUCCCGCAUGGCUGUGGCUGUGGUGUAGGCCGGCAGCACAGCUCUGAUUCAACCCCUGACCUGGGAACUUCCAUAUGCCACACCCUGAAAAGCAAAAACAAACAAAAAAAAUCGAUGUGAAAAGGAGUUCCCACUGUGGUACGGCAGGUUAAGGAUCCACCAUUGUGUCUGUGGCAGUGAGGGUUCAAUGCCCAGCUUGGUGUGAUGGGUUGAUGAUCUGACAUAGGUCACAGCUGUGGCUCAGAUCUGAUCCCUGGCCCGGAACUUCCAUAUGCCACAGGUACGGUCAUUUAAAAAAAAAAAAAAAACCAAGUGAAGAAAAUUGUAAUUGCUGAGAAACAUAAAAGGAGUCAUGAAUAAAAGAAUAAAUAAUUCUUAUUUUAACAGGAAAUUUUAAUACUAUAACCAAGUCAUUCUCCCUAAAUUAAUCUAUAUAUUUGAUCUGAACAAAUAUACCAAGAAGAUAUUUUAAGUAGCUAUGCUGAUUGUAAUAUUUAUACAGAAAAAAGAGAUGCAUAAAAAUAGCCAAGAAAAUGUUUAAAAGAAAGGGGACUAGAUAGCAAACCAAUUAUAAAGUUAUGAUCACUCUAACAACUAACAUAGCAGGUGAAAACCCAACAGAUAAAAGAGUAGAGCCCCCAGAAAGAGAACUAAACACAUAAAAGACAGCACUUAAAUUUGCUUAAAAAUGUAUUAUUCCAUAAAAGGUAUUAAAACAAUUAUGUAAGAUCUAGGAAAAUGAAAAUCGUAUCUCUACUUCACCUCCUACUCUAAAAAUAAAUUCCAUACCGAAUAAAGACAUAAGCAAAACAUAAAGACACAAAAUGACUAAAAGAAAACAGAAACGUUAAACAAUAUUGGGGCAGAACAGUUCUUUCCAAGCAGGACACAAAAUUCAACAGCUGAAGUUCUCUGGUGGCCUAGUGGUUAAGGAUCCAGCACUGUCACUGCCGUGGUGCAGGUCACUGCUAUGGCACAGGUGCGAUCCCCAGCCCGGGAGCUUCCACAUGCCAUGGGCAUGGCCAGAACAAAAAUUCAGCAGCCCACAAAAAGAAAAGAUUGAUAAAUUCAGUAUUAAAGAAAAGAAGCAUGUAAAAGGAAAAAAUCUGCAGGGCAAAAAAAUUCAAUAACAACGUCAACUGAUAAUUAAGAAAGAACAUAGUUCCACGUGAGGGACGGCCACCUGUCCGGCCUGACACGGCGCUCUGACAGACAGACUGUCUUGUUUGGAAGCCACAGAAAAUGACACAACACUUGAACAUUAGAGCUGAAGUUCCAGAGGCAGGUGCCAGCGGGCUAAAAUGACAGGCUCCUGAGAAGAGGCAGAGACAAAAUGCUCAGGGAGUCUGAGGUGACUACGGGCAACUCUGCAGAAAAAGUCACACCUGCCAGGAGGGCCAUCAUGAGAAAGACAACAAAGAACCGGUGUUGGUGAGGAUGUGGAGGAAAGGGGGCCUCCUGCACUCUUGGUGGGACUGUACACUGGUGCAGCCACUGUGAAAAGCAGUACGACGGUUCCUUAAGAAAUUAAAAAUAAAACUGCCAUGUGAUCCAGCAAUUUCACUUCUGGGUUAUCACCCAAAGGAAACAAAAUGCGGUGCAAAGAGACGUAUGCCCACCAAGGUUCCCGCAGUAUUACUUACAAUAGCCAAGGUGUGAAACCUAAGUGCUCAUCAAAAGACAGCUGGGUAAGGCGAUCUGAGACGCACACAUACACACGCCAGCCGGGAAAAACGAAAGUCUUGCCUUUUCGUGACAGCAUUGCUGGAUCUAGAGGGUAUAUCAUGCUUAGUGAAAUAAUCGGACAAAGACAACUACUACAUGGUCUCAUUUAUAUGUGGAAUCUAAAAAAUAAAACAAACAAAAGAAAAUAAAAGCAGACUCGCUGGUACAAAGAAGAAAUGGGUGGUUGCUAAGAGGGUGGGGGUGUGAUGUGAAACAGGCGAGGGGGGGUCCUCGGUGCAAAUCUCCAACUGUGAGAUAAACAAGCACAGGAUGUGAUACACGACAGAAGGAACAUGGUCAAUAAAACCGUAAUAACUUCCUGUGGGGACAGAUGGCUACGGCACUUGCCGCGGUGAUCAUUUCGUCAUGUGGGCAAGGGUCACAGCACCAUGUCAUACACCCGAAACUGACAUAACAUUGUACACCAUUACAACAAAAACAAUAAGACGAAAAAUUUCACCAACAUAAGAGCUCCUAAAUAUACAACACAAACUUUGACAUAACUAAAAGGACAAAGAGCAAUAAAACAGUAGCAGGAAACAUGGAUACCCCACCGUCAGUGACAGACUGAACAAGACAGAAGACAUGAAAGGAAGCAGAGGACUCCAGCAACACAGUCUAACAACCAGGUCUGUCAGACAGAGACAGAACACUCUGCCCCCAAACAAGAGAGCGCAAAUUCUUCUCAAGUGCACAUGCAAGUGUCUGGAAUAGACCACAUGAUAGCCCACAAGACAAACCUCAACAGCUCUAAAACAACAGAUAUCAUAUGAAGUAUCUUCUCCAACCACAACAAGAUGAAAUUAAAAACCAAAAACAGAAGGAAAAUUGGAAAAUCCAUAAAUUUGUGGACAGGAAACACACUCUUUGUUUUGUUUUUCUUUUCAGGGCCACACUGUGGCACAUGGAAGUUCCUGGGCUAGGGGUCAAAGCGGAGCUGCAUCUGUGACCUACGUCACAGCUUGUGACAAGGCCAGCAUGAGACCCGGGACUGAACCUGCAUCCUCAUGAAUAUUAGUCAGACUCUUAACCUGCUGAGCCACAACAGGAACUCCCAAAUUAACAUACUCUCAGACAACCAAUGUGUAAAGAAAUCACAGGAGAAAUUAGAAAAUACCUAGAGACAAAUAAAAAUGUGCACACAGCAUACUAAAACACAUCAGAUGCAGUGAAAGCAGUUCUAAAGGGGGGUUUUUAGCUCUAAACUCAUACAAAGGAAAAAACAAUCUCAAAUUAACAAACCGACUUUACACUUCAAGGAACCACCAAAAGAAGAAUGAAUGAACUAAACCAAAAGCUAGCAGAAGGAGGGGCAUCAUAAAUUUAGAAUAGAAAUUAAUAAAACAGAGCAUAGAAAACCAAUAGAAAAACUGACAAACUUCUGGCUGGAUUACCUAAAAAAGAAGACAGAAGGCUCAAAUAACUACAAUCAGAAAUGAAAAGGGGAGUUCCCGUCGUGGCGCAGUGGUUAACGAAUCUGACUAAGAACCAUGAGGUUGCGGGUUCAGUCCCUGCCCUUGCUCAGUGGGUUAAGGAUCCGGCGUUGCCGUGAGCUGUGGUGUAGGUUGCAGACGCGGCUCGAAUCCUGCGUGGCUGUGGCUCUGGUGUAGGCCGGCGGCUACAGCUCCGAUUCGACCCCUAGCCUGGGAACCUCCAUAUGC